GGUAAGGUGGCCGAGUGGUUAAGGCGGCAGAUUUAAGUAAUUCUUGAAAUCCCUGCUAUCGAAAGAUGCAUGAGUUCGAACCUCAUCCUUACCA